rnacentral:rRNA from 1 species
GAUCAUGGCUCAGGAUGAACGCUAGCUACAGGCUUAACACAUGCAAGUCGAGGGGCAGCAUUUUAGUUUGCUUGCAAACUAAAGAUGGCGACCGGCGCACGGGUGAGUAACACGUAUCCAACCUGCCGAUAACUCUGGGAUAGCCUUUCGAAAGGAAGAUUGAUACCGGGAUGGCAUAGGAUUAUCGCAUGAUAAUCCUAUUAAAGAAUUUCGGUUAUCGAUGGGGAUGCGUUCCA